CCAAACAAUUAAUUGUUAUUUUCAGAGGGAUUCAGAGCAGCGGUCCCGAAAUUAGAUUGAGAUGAUGAAAAAUAUUAUUAAACGAAAAAAAGAAUCGAUAAUCUCGUUGUUGAAAUCGAUUUGUUCACAGCUCUAAUGACAGCUGAAGUAUUCACAAGUGUUUUGCAAUUUAAUAAAUUCAUUUCCAGAAUUGCUUUUGAACCUGGACUCUUUUUUAACCUAGACGGUGUGAACGGAAGGCCAUUAUAUAUCCAGUAUUUGUUCUCUUCUUAAUUGAUUGACGAGGCAACAGCCGGAAGGAGAGACCCGUAACAUACGUUUAGGGCGAAUGCAAGAAAUUAUGCGAAG